CAUAGAUGGAGAGAAUGUUGGGGGCCAUCCCAUCCCCUCAUUUUACAGGUGGAGAAAGCACAUCUCAAGAAGGUAAAAAGACCUCUGCCACUCACAGGCCACAGGAAUUCACAGGUUUAUGAGUAGCUGAGUGAAAGACAAGAUUGAAGAAAGAAGAAUCUAGAAGCAAGGGGACCAAUCAAGAAAACCAUCUUCCUGACCCUUCCUGAAAACUAGCAAUGACAAAUGAAGGAAGAAUUGGAGAAGAGAGAAAAUAGAAGCAAGAGGACAAAUUCAUAGUCCAGGCAACAUGAGAUAAGAACAAGGGUGAGCUGUAGCAAGAGUUGAGAUGAGGAGAGAUGCUUAUUUCUCUGAUCAUCAAUGACAAUUCACUGUCAUCCAAAGGCUGGGAGAAGAUCGAUUUGGAUUGGUACAGAGUAUCCACACAUUCACAGGACUAUAGCUGAAAGUUCUCAUUGGCCUUCUACUCCAACAUGCUCAUUUUAAACAUGAGGAAACUGAGGCCCAGCUCAAGGGACAUGAGUGACUUGGCAGUAUCUUACAGCCAGUAAUCAGAAGCUGAAUAUGCAACCAGAUCCUCCGAUUUCAAAGUCAUUACCCUUUCCAAUCUUCUUACCUCCUUCUGGCACAUUUGGAUCAACAACACCACCAACCUGAGGGCCUGAGAUAAGAUUCCCUGAUUAUUAGUAACUGCCAAUCAAUCAUCUGUCUGCAUCUCUUACUGCCUCAGUUACACCUGCCUGGGAAAUAUUCACCAUGAGAUACAAAGAUGGGAAUGGGAAAACAGACUCAAACAUGGGAAGGGCCUUAUUCAAGAAGUCAUACAGAAAGAUAACUGAAGAUAUAGGACAAGAAUCCAUGUCUCCUGACUUUCAGGCCAGUGCUUUCAUUACAAUAUUGCUGCUGCUCCUAAUUAGCGAUAAAAAUACUAUGUUCAAAGGCCCAGGGCUAUUGUGAGGAUGUGCUCUCUAGAACCCAACCAGCAUUUUUGCAUGGGAGUGGUUUGAUCAGUGAAUAUUUCUGUGUUAAGACUGGACACCUAGUCCCCAACAGAGUCGGCAUGGGUUUACAUUUUAGCUGUGCGUCCCAGUUAUAGUCUUGCAAGUUCUGCCACAAGUUUUUGUCAAAGGCCCAGUUACCUGUCCUGUUCUUUUGGGCAUUUCCCAUCUUGUCAAGGCCAAUGACCAGGUCUCCUUUGAUGGACCCAGGAAUCUUCUCUUCUGACCUGCUCUAUUCAGUGAUGUCACAGUUCCUAGGGUUGACAUCACUCAAAACAAUACAUUAGACCAGAG